AUUGAACGCUGGCGGCAGGCCUAACACAUGCAAGUCGAACGAGCGGCGGACGGGUGAGUAAUGUCUGGGAAACUGCCUGAUGGAGGGGGAUAACUACUGGAAACGGUAGCUAAUACCGCAUACUAUCGGAUGUACCCAGAUGGGAUUAGCUAGUAGGUGGGGUAACGGCUCACCUAGGCGACGAUCCCUAGCUGGUCUGAGAGGAUGAUCAGCCACACUGGAACUGAGACACGGCCCAGACUCCUACGGGAGGCAGCAGUGGGGAAUAUUGCACAAUGGGCGCAAGCCUGAUACAGCCAUGCCGCGUGUAUGAAGAAGGCCUUAGGGUUGUAAAGUACUUUCAGCGGGGAGGCGUUACCCGCAGAAGAAGCACCGGCUAACUCCGUGCCAGCAGCCGCGGUAAUUC
rnacentral:rRNA from 1 species